UGGGGAAUAUUGGACAAUGGGCGCAAGCCUGAUCCAGCAAUGCCGCGUGGGUGAAGAAGGCCUUCGGGUUGUAAAGCCCUUUCAGCAGGGAAGAAAAGCAACUGGUUAAUACCUGGUUGUGCUGACGGUACCUGCAGAAGAAGCACCGGCUAACUCCGUGCCAGCAGCCGCGGUAAUACGGAGGGUGCAAGCGUUAAUCGGAAUUACUGGGCGUAAAGGGCGCGUAGGCGGCUUGGUAAGUCGGGUGUGAAAGCCCCGGGCUCAAGCUGGGAAUUCCAUUCGAUACUGCUUGGCGUGAGGGUAGUAGAGGGAAGGGGAAUUCCGGGUGGAGCGGUGAAAUGCGUAGAUAUCCGGAGGAACACCAGUGGCGAAGGCGGCUUCCUGGACUAACACUGACGCUGAGGCGCGAAAGCGUGGGGAGCAAACAGGAUUAGAUACCCCUGUAGUCC
rnacentral:rRNA from 1 species